ACCAAGUCCAACGGCGAUGAUGAUAAUGAUUAACGUGGAGAAUGCAUCGGCCGGAGGUUCACCCAUGCCCAUUAACACUGUCCUGGAGAGUAAAACAGACACAGAGAGAGUUCAGAGUGUAUUUACUGUAUCAGUACUGUAAGUAGUGUCCACUCACCAGCUGAUGUAUUUGGUGUCUUUGUAAAAGACGGGGUCUUUAUCGAUGCCGAAGCUGAUGUUGAGCCCGUGGAUCUGAGGAUCGUCUCUGAAAUAGGCCUGAACCAGAGCGGACGGAGGGACGCGGCUCACGGACACCAGCGGAGAGUGUCUGCAGGGCGUGGCGUCCUCAAACAACGGCUCA